GUCUUGUCUAAAUUACGUGCCAGCAGACGCGGUAAUACGUAGAAGACUAGUGUUAUUCAUUGUUAAUGGGUUUAAAGGGUACAUAGACGGAAAGUUAAGCCUUAUUCGGAACUAAUUUUCUAGAGUUUUAUAUGAGGAGGUAGAACAUAUGGAGUAAAGUUGAUAUUUAGUUAUACUGUAGAGACAGGUAUCGGCGAAGGCGGCCUUUUAUGUGAAAACUGACGUUGAGGGACGAAGCCCUUGGUAACGAUAAGGAUUAGACACCCUAAUAGUCUUGGGAGAAAAUGAUGAAUGUCAUAAAUUAGAAAAUUUAGUUUAUAAACGAAAGUGCAAGCAUUCCACCUCAUGAGUAAAGCGGCAACGCUCAAAUUGAAAUCAUUAGACCGUUUCUGAAACCAGUAGUGAAGUAUGUUAUUUAAUUCGAUGAUCCGCGAAUAAUCUUACCACGAUUUGUAUAUUAUACAAGUGCUGCACGGCUGUCUUUAGCUAAUGUCGUGAGAUUUGGUUAACUCCUUUAAUUAGCGCAAGCCCUUACUUUAUUUAAAUAUUUUUUAUAAAGUAGUUCGCCAUUAUAACGGUUAGAUAAUA
rnacentral:rRNA from 1 species